ACACUGGAACUGAGACACGGUCCAGACUCCUACGGGAGGCAGCAGUGGGGAAUAUUGGACAAUGGGCGAAAGCCUGAUCCAGCGACGCCGCGUGAGUGAAGAAGGCCUUCGGGUUGUAAAGCUCUUUCGGUAGGGAAGAUAAUGACGGUACCUACAAAAGAAGCUCCGGCUAACUUCGUGCCAGCAGCCGCGGUAAUACGAAGGGAGCUAGCGUUACUCGGAAUUAUUGGGCGUAAAGCGUACGUAGGCGGCUUAGUAAGUUGGGAGUGAAAUCCUUGGGCUUAACCCAAGAA
rnacentral:rRNA from 1 species